UCAUUUGUCUUCUGACAGGAUAUGGUUGUUUUCCACUUUAUCAGGUGGUUCUGGACAAAAAGAAGCCAAAAAUACAAACAGUUGUAAAUAAGAUUGACGUCAUUCAAAAUGACUACCGAAAAAUGCAGCUUGAGGUGUUAGCCGGGAAUCACUCCUUGGUGACUACAGUAGUUGAGAAUGGACUGCGAUUUCGUGUUGAUUUAGCAAAAGUUUAUUGGAACUCAAGGCUUGGAACUGAGAGGCAGAGGCUUCUGAGUGGCUUCGAUCGCAAUGAUGUCAUAUGUGAUGUAUUCUCUGGGG